rnacentral:rRNA from 1 species
AUGGGGACCCGUAUGAAUGGCAUGACGAGGGCUCAACUGUCUCCUUUUUCCAGUCAAUGAAAUUGAUCCCCCCGUGCAGAAGCGGGGAUAUGUACAUAAGACGAGAAGACCCUAUGGAGCUUUAGACACAAAGACAGCCUAUGUCCAUAACCUUAAAACAAAAAACAAAACUUAAUACUUCCCCUGCUCUUAUGUC